rnacentral:rRNA from 1 species
UACGUAGGUGGCAAGCGUUAUCCGGAAUUACUGGGCGUAAAGCGCACGCAGGCGGUCUUUUAAGUUUGACGUGAAAGCUCCCGGCUUAACUGGGAGAGGUCGUUGAAUCCUGGAAGACUUGAGGAAAUGAGAGGGGUGUAGAAUUCCUGGUGUAGUGGUGGAAUGCGUAGAUAUCAGGAGGAAUACCAGUGGCGAAAGCGGCACCCUAGCAUUUUUCUGACGCUCAUGUGCGAAAGCGUGGGGAGCGAACGGG